rnacentral:rRNA from 1 species
AUUGAACGCUGGCGGCAGGCCUAACACAUGCAAGUCGAACGGUAGCACAGAGAGCUUGCUCUCGGGUGACGAGUGGCGGACGGGUGAGGAAUACAUCGGAAUCUACUCUGUCGUGGGGGAUAACGUAGGGAAACUUACGCUAAUACCGCAUACGACCUACGGGUGAAAGCAGGGGAUCUUCGGACCUUGCGCGAUUGAAUGAGCCGAUGUCGGAUUAGCUAGUUGGCGGGGUAAAGGCCCACCAAGGCGACGAUCCGUAGCUGGUCUGAGAGGAUGAUCAGCCACACUGGAACUGAGACACGGUCCAGACUCCUACGGGAGGCAGCAGUGGGGAAUAUUGGACAAUGGGCGCAAGCCUGAUCCAGCCAUACCGCGUGGGUGAAGAAGGCCUU